rnacentral:rRNA from 1 species
GUCACGCUGUAAACGAUGUCGAUUUGGAGGUUGUUCCCUUGAGGAGUGGCUUCCGGAGCUAACGCGUUAAAUCGACCGCUGGGGAGUACGGCCGCAAGGUUAAAACUCAAAUGAAUUGACGGGGGCCCGCACAGCGGUGGAGCAUGUGGUUUAAUUCGAUGCAACGCGAAGAACCUUACCUACUCUUGACAUCCAGAGAAUUUAGCAGAGAUGCUUUAGUGCCUUCGGGAACUCUGAGACAGGUGCUGCAUGGCUGUCGUCAGCUCGUGUUGUGAAAUGUUGGGUUAAGUCCCGCAACGAGCGCAACCCUUAUCCUUUGUUGCCAGCACAUUAUGGUGGGAACUCAAAGGAGACUGCCGGUGAUAAACCGGAGGAAGGUGGGGAUGACGUCAAGUCAUCAUGGCCCUUACGAGUAGGGCUACACACGUGCUACAAUGGCGUAUACAAAGAGAAGCGACCUCGCGGGAGCAAGCGGAACUCAUAAAGUACGUCGUAGUCCGGAUUGGAGUCUGCAACUCGACUCCAUGAAGUCGGAAUCGCUAGUAAUCGUAGAUCAGAAUGCUACGGUGAAUACGUUCCCGGGCCUUGUACACACCGCCCGUCACACCAUGGGAGUGGGUUGCAAAAGAAGUAGGUAGCUUAACCUUCGGGAGGGCGCUUACCACUUUGUGAUUCAUGACUGGGGUGAAGUCGUAACAAGGUAACCA